rnacentral:rRNA from 1 species
UGAACGCUGGCGGCGUGCCUAACACAUGCAAGUCGCACGAGAACGCUUCAGCUUGCUGAGGCAAGUAAAGUGGCGAACGGGUGAGUAACGCGUGGGUAAUCUACCUCCGAAUUGGGGAUAACAUUGCGAAAGCGGUGCUAAUACCGAAUAAUAUCCCUGAGACCCAGGUCUUGGUGAUCAAAGGUGGCCUCUACAUGUAAGCUACUGUUUGGAGAUGAGCCCGCGUACCAUUAGCUUGUUGGUAGGGUAACGGCCUACCAAGGCUGCGAUGGUUAGCUGGUCUGAGAGGAUGAUCAGCCACACUGGAACUGACACACGGUCCAGACUCCUACGGGAGGCAGCAGUGAGGAAUUUUGCGCAAUGGGGGAAACCCUGACGCAGCAACGCCGCGUGAGUGAUGAAGGCCUUCGGGUCGUAAAGCUCUGUCAAGUGGGAAGAACCUGCCUGAUGAUAAUACCAUCGGGCACCGACGGUACCACUGAAGGAAGCACCGGCUAACUCC